rnacentral:rRNA from 1 species
CCCGUACUGCUAUCAGAGUGGGACUAAGCCAUGCGAGUCGACACAGCAAUGUGUGGCAUACGGCUCAGUAACACGUAGUCAACAUGCCCAGGGGGCGUGGAUAACCUCGGGAAACUGAGGAUAAACCGCGAUAGGUCACUACGUUCUGGAAUGGGUAAUGACCCAAACYUAUAUGGCCACCUGGAUUGGACUGCGGCCGAUCAGGCUGUUGGUGAGGUAAUGGCCCACCAAACCUGUAACCGGUACGGGCUCUGAGAGGAGGAGCCCGGAGAUGGGCACUGAGACAAGGGCCCAGGCCCUAUGGGGCGCAGCAGGCGCGAAACCUCUGCAAUAGGCGAAAGCUUGACAGGGUUACUCUGAGUGAUUUCCGUUAAGGAGAUCUUUUGGCACCUCUAAAAAUGGUGCAGAAUAAGGGGUGGGCAAGUCUGGUGUCAGCCGCCGCGGUAAUACCAGCACCCCGAGUGGUCGGGACGUUUAUUGGGCCUAAAGCAUCCGUAGCCGGUUCUACAAGUCUUCCGUUAAAUCCACCUGCUCAACAGAUGGGCUGCGGAAGAUACUAUGGAGCUAGGAGGCGGGAGAGGCAAGCGGUACUCGAUGGGUAGGGGUAAAAUCCGUUGAUCCAUUGAAGACCACCAGUGGCGAAGGCGGCUUGCCAGAACGCGCUCGACGGUGAGGGAUGAAAGCUGGGGGAGCAAACCGGAUUAGAUACCCGGGUAGUCCCAGCUGUAAACGAUGCAGACUCGGGGGKGAUUARAGUUGGCUUUUAUGCCAACUCAGUGCCGCASGGAAGCCCGUUAAGUUUGCCGCCUGGGGAGUACGGUCGCAAGACUGAAACUUAAAGGAAUUGGGCGGGGGAGCACCACAAGGGGUGAAGCCUGCGGUUC